GCCAUUUGUGGGGCUGGACAGAGGAGCAUGGGGUAUGUCAGGAAAGUUCGUGCUGCUAGGCAGAGGAACUGCAGCUUGUUGGCAGGUGAAGGGAGCCUGUUUAGCUGUGUCCAGCAACAACUUACGUGGUCCUGCUUGUGUUCCAGGUGAAGCGUCUGGCCGCCGAGCAGAGGAAUCAAGACCUGCUCAUUCUUUCCUCGGGGGAUCCAUCCAGCAAUGACAUCAUCUCAUGCUGCCACAAGGACCCCAAGUCUGGGCUGCUGGGGACCAGCCACGCUCCCCACUGCUCAUUCCUUCAUCCUAGAGACAUUCUGACUCUCCUCCGACUGCGCUGUGCACAGCAUAUCCUAUUGCACUGUGCUCACCCUUCUUCGUGGGGUGACAUA
rnacentral:lncRNA from 10 species